AAAGCUCAAAUUUAAAAUCUGGNGGUUCUGCCGUCCGAGUUGUAAUCUGGAGAAGCGUUUUCUGUGCUGGACCGUGUACAAGUCUCUUGGAAGAGAGCGUCAUAGAGGGUGAGAAUCCCGUCCAUGACACGGACACCCAGUGCUAUGUGAUACGUUUUCAAAGAGUCGAGUUGUUUGGGAAUGCAGCUCAAAAUGGGUGGUAAGCUCCAUCUAAAGCUAAAUAUUGGCGAGAGACCGAUAGCGAACAAGUACCGUGAGGGAAAGAUGAAAAGCACUUUGGAAAGAGAGUUAAACAGUACGUGAAAUUGUUGAAAGGGAAACGCUUGAAGUGAGUCGCGUCUUACUUGACUCAGCCUGGCCUCGGCUUGGUGUAUUUCAUGUAAGACGGGUCAACAUCGAUUUUGACCGGCAGAGAAGGGGUGUAAGAAUGUGGCACUCUUCGGGGUGUGUUAUAGCUUAUGCUCAUAUGUGUCGGUGGGGAUCGAGGACCGCAGCGCGCCCUUGUGGCCGGAGGUUCGCCUCACGUUACGCGCUUAGGAUGUUGGCAUAAUGGCUUUAAGCGACCCGUCUUGAAACACGGACCAAGGAGUCUAACAUGCUCGCGAGUGUUAGGGUGGAAAACCCUUGCGCGGAAUGAAAGUAAAAGUUGGGAACCUCCGCAAGGGGGCGCACCGACGCCCGGCCCAGAAGUUUACGGACGGUGCUGCGGUAGAGCGCGUAUGUUGGGACCCGAAAGAUGGUGAACUAUGCCUGAAUAGGGCGAAGCCAGGGGAAACCCUGUGUGGAGGCUCGUAGCGAUUCUGACGUGCAAAUC
rnacentral:rRNA from 1 species